CAUGCAAGUCGAACGCUUCUUUUUCCACCGGAGCUUGCUCCACCGGAAAAAGAGGAGUGGCGAACGGGUGAGUAACACGUGGGUAACCUGCCCAUCAGAAGGGGAUAACACUUGGAAACAGGUGCUAAUACCGUAUAACAAUCAAAACCGCAUGGUUUUGAUUUGAAAGGCGCUUUCGGGUGUCGCUGAUGGAUGGACCCGCGGUGCAUUAGCUAGUUGGUGAGGUAACGGCUCACCAAGGCCACGAUGCAUAGCCGACCUGAGAGGGUGAUCGGCCACAUUGGGACUGAGACACGGCCCAAACUCCUACGGGAGGCAGCAGUAGGGAAUCUUCGGCAAUGGACGAAAGUCUGACCGAGCAACGCCGCGUGAGUGAAGAAGGUUUUCGGAUCGUAAAACUCUGUUGUUAGAGAAGAACAAGGAUGAGAGUAACUGUUCAUCCCUUGACGGUAUCUAACCAGAAAGCCACGGCUAACUACGUGCCAGCAGCCGCGGUAAUACGUAGGUGGCAAGCGUUGUCCGGAUUUAUUGGGCGUAAAGCGAGCGCAGGCGGUUUCUUAAGUCUGAUGUGAAAGCCCCCGGCUCAACCGGGGAGGGUCAUUGGAAACUGGGAGACUUGAGUGCAGAAGAGGAGAGUGGAAUUCCAUGUGUAGCGGUGAAAUGCGUAGAUAUAUGGAGGAACACCAGUGGCGAAGGCGGCUCUCUGGUCUGUAACUGACGCUGAGGCUCGAAAGCGUGGGGAGCAAACAGGAUUAGAUACCCUGGUAGUCCACGCCGUAACGAUGAGUGCUAAGUGUUGGAGGGUUUCCGCCCUUCAGUGCUGCAGCUAACGCAUUAAGCACUCCGCCUGGGGAGUACGACCGCAAGGUUG
rnacentral:rRNA from 1 species